UGGUCCAGUGGGUCAUUUCUGUUUCCUAUGGCCUCAAGGACAGUGCCCCUUGACCC
rnacentral:lncRNA from 1 species